rnacentral:rRNA from 1 species
CCAUCAUUUAAAGAAAGCGUAAUAGCUCACUGGUCGAGUCGGCCUGCGCGGAAGAUGUAACGGGGCUAAACCAUGCACCGAAGCUGCGGCAGCGACACUAUGUGUUGUUGGGUAGGGGAGCGUUCUGUAAGCCUGUGAAGGUGUGCUGUGAGGCAUGCUGGAGGUAUCAGAAGUGCGAAUGCUGACAUAAGUAACGAUAAAGCGGGUGAAAAGCCCGCUCGCCGGAAGACCAAGGGUUCCUGUCCAACGUUAAUCGGGGCAGGGUGAGUCGACCCCUAAGGCGAGGCCGAAAGGCGUAGUCGAUGGGAAACAGGUUAAUAUUCCUGUACUUGGUGUUACUGCGAAGGGGGGACGGAGAAGGCUAUGUUGGCCGGGCGACGGUUGUCCCGGUUUAAGCGUGUAGGCUGGUUUUCCAGGCAAAUCCGGAAAACCAAGGCUGAGGCGUGAUGACGAGGCACUACGGUGCUGAAGCGACAAAUGCCCUGCUUCCAGGAAAAGCCUCUAAGCAUCAGGUAACAUCAAAUCGUACCCCAAACCGACACAGGUGGUCAGGUAGAGAAUACCAAGGCGCUUGAGAGAACUCGGGUGAAGGAACUAGGCAAAAUGGUGCCGUAACUUCGGGAGAAGGCACGCUGAUAUGUAGGUGAAGCGACUUGCUCGUGGAGCUGAAAUCAGUCGAAGAUACCAGCUGGCUGCAACUGUUUAUUAAAAACACAGCACUGUGCAAACACGAAAGUGGACGUAUACGGUGUGACGCCUGCCCGGUGCCGGAAGGUUAAUUGAUGGGGUUAGCGGUAACGCGAAGCUCUUGAUCGAAGCCCCGGUAAACGGCGGCCGUAACUAUAACGGUCCUAAGGUAGCGAAAUUCCUUGUCGGGUAAGUUCCGACCUGCACGAAUGGCGUAAUGAUGGCCAGGCUGUCUCCACCCGAGACUCAGUGAAAUUGAACUCGCUGUGAAGAUGCAGUGUACCCGCGGCAAGACGGAAAGACCCCGUGAACCUUUACUAUAGCUUGACACUGAACAUUGAGCCUUGAUGUGUAGGAUAGGUGGGAGGCUUUGAAGUGUGGACGCCAGUCUGCAUGGAGCCGACCUUGAAAUACCACCCUUUAAUGUUUGAUGUUCUAACGUUGGCCCGUAAUCCGGGUUGCGGACAGUGUCUGGUGGGUAGUUUGACUGGGGCGGUCUCCUCCUAAAGAGUAACGGAGGAGCACGAAGGUUGGCUAAUCCUGGUCGGACAUCAGGAGGUUAGUGCAAUGGCAUAAGCCAGCUUGACUGCGAGCGUGACGGCGCGAGCAGGUGCGAAAGCAGGUCAUAGUGAUCCGGUGGUUCUGAAUGGAAGGGCCAUCGCUCAACGGAUAAAAGGUACUCCGGGGAUAACAGGCUGAUACCGCCCAAGAGUUCAUAUCGACGGCGGUGUUUGGCACCUCGAUGUCGGCUCAUCACAUCCUGGGGCUGAAGUAGGUCCCAAGGGUAUGGCUGUUCGCCAUUUAAAGUGGUACGCGAGCUGGGUUUAGAACGUCGUGAGACAGUUCGGUCCCUAUCUGCCGUGGGCGCUGGAGAACUGAGGGGGGCUGCUCCUAGUACGAGAGGACCGGAGUGGACGCAUCACUGGUGUUCGGGUUGUCAUGCCAAUGGCACUGCCCGGUAGCUAAAUGCGGAAGAGAUAAGUGCUGAAAGCAUCUAAGCACGAAACUUGCCCCGAGAUGAGUUCUCCCUGAGACUUAGAGUCUCCUGAAGGAACGUUGAAGACGACGACGUUGAUAGGCCGGGUGUGUAAGCGCAGCGAUGCGUUGAGCUAACCGGUACUAAUGAACCGUGAGGCUUAACCUUACAACGCCGAAG